AAAAGACAAAACUAGAUCCUGUUAAGCAUUCUUCAAAAUAAAAGACUUCCUCUAUUAAAUAAAUUGCACUUAAAUAUGUUUCACUUCAACUUUUGUAAUUAUAUACAAUCAUGUUAAAUUCAAUUAAUAAUAAUCAUCAUGUAAAUUAUAUUUAAAUAAGUGUAAAGAAGUCACAACAACAGUCGCUCUGUGAGGUUUUUUAUUUUAGCUCAGAAACUACUUCAACUUACAAAAACUAAAGUUGCCAAUUUCUCACUUUCUUUGUGAUAUUUGGUCAAAAACUGUUUAAGACGAAUGAAAGAAUCUAAUCAAGGUUUAUUCCUGAGCUUAAUUGUUCAGCACCAAAACACAGACUGCUCUGCAGAACCAGAACCAGAACCAGAACCAGAACCAAACAGAGAAGCAGAAUUCAGUUUUAUGCUCCACUAAUCUGGGACAAAUUCACAGAAAACUUCAAAACAGGUGAAACACUGAGUUACUGUAAGACUAACAACCACUUGUUCAGAUUUACCUUUGAUAGCAAUAAUAACUGAAACAUCGUUAAUUUUAGUACAUUUUUCUUUACCUUCCUUCAUUAAACCACUUCCAUGCUCGACUUGUUUGUGUUUUCACUUCUAACUGCCUCAUCCUGAAAAGGGAGCUUCCUGAAAACUUGUCUGGGCUUGAAGCUGAAUCUGAUCUCAUCUUGACAUGAACUCAUUCAGUAGGGAGUGGACUGGAUUUCAGCUGCAGCACGUCUCUCUAUUCAGAGCUUUAAGUGAAAACAGAGAGCAUACUGGUGUUUUCCCAUUCAGUAACUGGCCAGUUAAAUCAGGCUGUUGGUCUGUUAAUGGAUCUGAACGCUCAUCAAUAAAAUAUUGUUCUGUGGACUUAAUGACGUCCUCAGAGAGGAAAUGAAACAAAGCAAUUUUAUCCAAACCAAUCGAUGUCAAAGGUCUAAAAUGUUCUGUAACGUCUGUAAAGUUUGAAGAAACCAGCUGACUGGUCAGAGGAUGUUACCGUCCAAAACCUGGUUGUGUUCAUGUAAACAGAGAUAUCUUUACUGAAAACACAGUUUGGUUCCUGAUCAUCACAUCCAGUCAUUUUUAUUUAUUAGAAACAAACUGGCACCAAGCAAUAAACAGAUUAAAUGAAAAACUAUUUGGAGAUAAAAUUCCCAGAGGAUUUAUUGGAAAAACGCCGGACAUUUCAAACUAAACGUUUAGUUUCAGUUUCUCUAUUAUCCUUUUCUAAAGAAAAGUUUCCCUCCACUUUCACUGAUCCUGGGUUCUCAUUUGAUUAACAUUUACAUUUUGUUAACCACCAUACAUACAUGUUUGGACAUUUCCAUGUUUUAGAGAAACAUUGUCAGAUAAGUGAAAAACAACCAGAGAUGUCUGACAGGAAACAGGAAAAGGAUCAGAACCUCCAACUUCCUGCUGUGAGCUUCCAGACGCUGCAGUAGGGAUGAGGGAAGCAAAGAGGCGUGGCCUACAACUCCCAGCAUUCAGCUGACUACAACUCCCAGCAUUCAGCUGACUUCAACACAUCUGAGUCAGGAAUCUUGCUGCUCUGUCAUGAAGCAGAGAGUCUGAAUUCAUUCAGUGGUUUAAAUCCAAACAGAACCGUUCUGCUCCGUCCUCAGCAGGAUCCGUACGGUCAGAACCAACAGGCACACGGAGAGCAACGAACCAGCGAAAGAUUUCCACCUCUCAGGGUGAAGCCAACACACGGGACGCAGCAGUGACUGAAGCUGAUUGUUUAUCAGCUUCUUGUGCUGCGUUGCUAGUUUGUGUCUCUGUGUCUGAACUCAAAAUUAUACAUGCAAAAAUCUCAUUGGUCUGUUGGCUGGAGGAGGAAAAGUUGUUGUCGAUUUAUCACUGAAGUUCCAUUGGACAUGGAUGGAGAGAGAUCGACAUCACUUCCUGUGUCAGAACAUUGUCAGGCUGGAAGGGAUGGAAUGUGUAACUUGUUCUGGUCAUUCUGGGGUCUUUCCUCAGACAGAAACACCUGAAAACGUCCAAACGUCCAGCACUGAGAGAAAAUAAGUAAUUAUUGAUGUGACAGAAGCAGCGGCUUUGACUCCUGGGUGGUUUGUGUGUGGAUGUGGGUCUGACUGUCACCAGUAUGAAUGGUUGGUUACUGGUGCUCUGGCUUUGUGUGCAUGUUGAGUUUGUUGUCCCGUUGAUUGUUGGCAUUUGUGCAUUAGGCCUGGUCAGUCUGUGUCCUUGUAAAGUUUCAACUAUUACAAUCAAAAUGGAAUAAAUCGAAGAAGUGGCCUGGAGUUAAUUGAAGCACGCGUCGGCCAGAUGAGUUUCCCGAGUUAACCCAGGGUGGCGCUCAUACACCAUGAGUUUGCUGCACUUUUAAAUCUUUUGGGUCCAGAGAUCCAGCAGAUCUUCUCUAAGCUCCUUACCUGAUCUCUGAGAGGAAACUCCUUUCAGCAGCUUCUACCUGAGAACUUGUUCCUUCUGUCUGAUCCAUCGCUAAUGACAUCACACUUUUAUAACACUUUAACACUCCAAGGUUCUCAAAGACACUUUACAUGAAAUCAGUCACAAUCACACACUGAUGAUGAAAAGCUAUGGAUAGUAGCCCU